rnacentral:rRNA from 1 species
UACGGAGGGGGCUAGCGUUGUUCGGAAUUACUGGGCGUAAAGCGCGUGUAGGUGGUUGUCCAAGUUGGAUGUGAAAGCCUUGAGCUCAACUCAAGAAAUGCAUUCAGGACUGGGCGACUAGAGGACCGGAGAGGAUAGUGGAAUUCCCAGUGUAGUGGUGAAAUACGUAGAGAUUGGGAAGAACACCAGUGGCGAAGGCGGCUAUCUGGACGGUUUCUGACACUAAGACGCGAAAGCGUGGGGAGCAAACAGG